UACGGAGGAUGCAAGCGUUAUCCGGAUUUAUUGGGUUUAAAGGGUGCGCAGGUUGUUUGAUAAGUCAGUGUUGAAAGUCUGUCGCUUAACGGUAGGAUUGCCAUUGAUGCUGUUGGACUUGAAUAUGGAUGAGGUAGGCGGAAUGUGUAGUGUAGCGGUGAAAUGCAUAGAUAUUACACAGAACACCGAUUGCGAAGGCAGCUUACUAAUCCAUCAUUGACGCUGAGGCACGAAAGCGUGGGGAUCAAACA
rnacentral:rRNA from 1 species